rnacentral:rRNA from 1 species
AACGAACGCUGGCGGCAUGCCUAACACAUGCAAGUCGAACGGGAUCCUAGCUUGCUAGGUGAGAGUGGCGGACGGGUGAGUAACACGUGGGAAUCUGCCUUUUGGUUCGGGAUAACCGCGGGAAACUGCGGCUAAUACCGAAUGCCCUCGAGAGAGGAAAGAUUUAUCGCCAGAAGAGGAGCCCGCGUCCCGAUUAGGUAGUUGGUGGGGUAAAGGCCUACCAAGCCGACGAUCGGUAGCUGGUCUGAGAGGAUGAUCAGCCACACUGGGACUGAGAUACGGCCCAGACUCCUACGGGAGGCAGCAGUGGGGAAUAUUGGACAA